UACGUAGGGAGCAAGCGUUGUCCGGAAUCAUUGGGCGUAAAGCGCGCGUAGGCGGCCUCAUAAGUCCGUUGUGAAAGUCAAAGGCUCAACCUUUGAAAGCCGGUGGAUACUGUGAGGCUAGAGUACGGAAGAGGCGAGUGGAAUUCCUGGUGUAGCGGUGGAAUGCGCAGAUAUCAGGAGGAACACCAAUAGCGAAGGCAGCUCGCUGGGACGUUACUGACACUGAGGCGCGAAAGCGUGGGGAGCGAACAGG
rnacentral:rRNA from 1 species